ACACGACUCUCGGCAACGGAUAUCUCGGCUCUCGCAUCGAUGAAGAACGUAGCGAAAUGCGAUACCUGGUGUGAAUUGCAGAAUCCCGCGAACCAUCGAGUCUUUGAACGCAAGUUGCGCCCGAGGCCAUUCGGCNGNNNNNANGNCUGCCUGGGCGUCACGC
rnacentral:rRNA from 1 species